rnacentral:sRNA from 1 species
AUACUAAUUGUUGUUUCACGUCGAUUUGAAUGGCACUCGGUUGGUUGCCGUGCGCAGCGUACGCGGACGCGUACGCGUUCGUUGUUUUGUAUCAGCAUAAAAAUUUCAUGCUGCCCCGCCGUCGACGUCGUCAUCGUCGUCGUCAGCUCCACGCGGAGCUGAGCGCCGGUUCGAAAUAGUACGAAAAAACUAAUCACAUACGCCGGGCCGGCUCUCUAGCCGGCUGCCUGGCGGCGGGCAGCACAAAUUGGCGUAAGCAAAACACUAUUUGUUUUGCCGAAAAUGAGAAUUGUAUUGGCCGCCGGUGGCUGUCUGGCGAGAGCAGUGGCUGCCAGGCGACGGGUUUGACUAUUUAGAAACCGUUGCUGUUCUAUUUUGGCCAGGCCAACAGAAGAGGGCCAGCAACGCCACUGCCACUGCUGCCACUAACUUGGCAGUAAUUUUAUAUCAAGGAAACCUUGAGGUUGUUGUCUGAUCGAACUGGAAAACCUUGGAAAACCAGAAGCGCGCUUCACAAUGGAUACAACAAAAACUGAAGGCAAUUAACAUACUAAGACCCGCUAAGUGCAUCUCCCACACCGGACACCUAGUACACACCAUUCCAGCUCCAUCAUUUAAAUUCGAUGCAUUCGUAUGAACCGACACAGCCCGACGAUUCCAUUGUUUAAGUUUUCAGCACCAAACCAGAAGUAACAACGAAAUAAGCGGAACAAAACAAAGGCAACAGCAACAGCAACGGAAAAAAACGAGGUCACAAGAAAUGGAGUGCGGAGUGGAGUGGAGUGCAUCAGCUGGGUGUUAUGCUGGCCUGGUAGCCGCUGCCUGUAUAUUAUCGAUCAUGUUUUGAAAGCGAGAGUGAAGUCGGCGGCCGACGAACGGAUGGACGGACGGACACACAGUUACUCGGAUUGUCGUCGUGAGCACAACAGGAGAGAAGUAGAAGCAGAGUGGCGUGGAGUGGAGGGUGCGUCCUACACACUUGUGGAUACAGAUACAAUUUAUUUCAUACGCACGGCUGUCGACCCCCUCUCGCUCUGAGUUGGCAUUUAUCUGGCUGCGGUCGCUGCGCGCCUGUUCCCCGAACAAAGCCAGCUAUCGAUUUCUACAUAAAAAACGAAAGUGAACUCGGUUCGGCCCUGGAGCUCGGAUUGUUCGCCCUCGCAGAUAGCGCUUCACUUGACCCAGUUUUGGGCCUGAUUCGAUUUUACUUUUAGCCGAGGGCGGAACCGAGGGCAUUCGCCUCGCAUUGACCCCGCUCAAGGUUCAACGCUCCGCGGGGACAGCCCUCGGGUGCCAAGGUAAAUGGUCGCCAACAGUGUCACGUUCAGGGACCGCCCAUGACCCACCUUUGCCGUCGAUCGGUGCUCAAAGCACCGAUCCACGAUAGAAAGAAAAAUCAGACCCCUUUUGCGGGUACCAGGCGAACAGCGGCAGCCACCAGCGGAUUGCGCUGCCUGCGCUCGCUUUUUCGGCGGUUCAUUGAACUUCUGGGGCUUCAAAUUUUGAAGAUCGUUGACCGAAAGAGAGAGCCAGCCACUGUGUUGGUGAGAGAGAUAGAGGGAAAGAAAGAGUGAGACAGCGAGAGAACUGAGAGAGGAGAACGGGCAGCAAGAGCGCUGACGUCAGCGGUGGUAGCUACGUUUCGGAAUCGGAUUCGGUUUCUGUUUCGGUUCGUAAAACCGAAGUGUGUGAGGGAGAGAGAAGAAAGCUGGCUGUCUCAAUUUGUAAUGCCCGUCAGACCCCUGUGAUGAUUUUGAUGACAUCAGCCUGCUGAACGACGGCUAAAUGUUUACAAUUAAUGUACGAAUAUGUGAACCAACCACCGACUAGUAUAUGACUUAUUUGGUACAGCACUUAAGUACGUACUCGUACACAAAUUGUACAUACACAGAUACAGUAAAUAAAAUAUGGAACUUAUCUCUUGCUAAACCGAUCCCAUUUAUACAUAAACAUAAAACAAAUCUGAGAGUGUAGAAUAAUAGUACUUUUCUUUGUUUGUUGUUUUUUAGAAGCCUACAUAGGGGGACUGCAAAUGUUUAUAAACUUUAGUCCGCCUCCCCACUCAAGUUAUAAAACAUUAAUUUUUUUGUUAAAUACGAAAUUAUAAACUUUUUGUAACAAGCGCCCAGAAAGCGUUUGAAAGUCGUUUGUCGAAUGCAAUUCACACGCUUCGCUCAAGUGUAUAAGUGGAUCGGUCGGUUCUCGGGGGGGCUGGGGCUGCCGGCGUGUGACGUAUAGCGGUAGAGGCUAGGCGCGAAGCACUGGGCACGAGGGAGGCGGCAGGCGACGGGCGGCAAGACCCGCAGUUGAUAAGUAAUGACACACGCGCAGCUGGAUCGGAAUCGUAGUGGGGGGCGAAGUGCGAGGCGUUUGUUCCGUGGAAAUGUUUUGUCAUGCCGCUGCUGUUUGGGUUGGGGAUUGGGGGCCGAUCUUCUAGGGGAUCUCUGAAAAGUACUUUCGAUUUCGGUUGCCGCUUCCCAAUGCUGACCAUUUAUCCAAAAUCCCAGGCGUUCAGUGAUCUAGUGGAGGCGGUUAUAUCUCACUGGUCUCUUCAUUUUUGGAUAAAACGUGAUUUGUACACGGCCUGCACUUGGAGAAAUUAGGACGUAUGUAUUUAGAUAUGCUGACCAGGAACAUAUAUACAUUCUUAAUGGGGUCGGAAAC